UACGAAGGGAGCUAGCGUUGUUCGGAAUCACUGGGCGUAAAGCGCACGUAGGCGGAUGUGUCAGUCAGGGGUGAAAUCCCGGAGCUCAACUUCGGAACUGCCUUUGAUACAGCACGUCUUGAGUCCGGAAGAGGUGGGUGGAAUUCCUAGUGUAGAGGUGAAAUUCGUAGAUAUUAGGAAGAACACCGGUGGCGAAGGCGGCCCACUGGUCCGGUACUGACGCUGAGGUGCGAAAGCGUGGGGAGCGAACGGG
rnacentral:rRNA from 1 species